GCUCGGGCUUCGGGGCUUUUUUUUUUGUUUAUUUUUUGUUUUUUUAAAUACCUUCCCCCCCUCCCUCCCUCAGCAGACACCGUCUAACAGACGGGCUUGGCCAGGGCGUACACGUUCCGAUUUUCAUUUUCAGGCAGCGCCUCGGGAUUCACGACGUGAAUCACGGUACUGUUUAAAAUGUAAACAGUAGUAAAAGCCGGUGUCUUUCUAAACUCUGAGGGCUUAAACGUCGCUAAACCUGAUCAGCCAGCGCACCUGAGAUCCCCCCGCACCCCGGCAGCUGGCUGCAUGCUUCCCUCUGCUAGGUCAGGCACCCCACUGUGGACAUGUGAGCUACGGGAUCCAAGGCUUCGGUUUGCUGGGGGACCUGUGAUAAAACUUUCAACUUUCAGUAAGCGGCACCUCUCUGAUAGUUAUUUAAGGCCUUUGUCUGCAUUGUUCCCGAACUAUUUCCUUUUUCCUCUAGGGCAACCUAGAGUAGGAAACUGAUGGUCCCUCAGGUAGCCUGCUUCCACCUCACUUGAAGUCUUGCCUGCUUGUCGGGUUGGAGGCCAGCAGAGAACCUGCAGAAGCUGAGGGCAGGUCUCCUACUUCCUGCCGUUUGUGGAAUCAGCUGGAGAUACUCUGAGUGCAGCAGACAGCAGAGAUGUGCAUUGCUGGAAUCCAGAGAGUUUCGUAACAUGGCAGCCGCUUGCUGAAAGCCCUGCAGAUACAAAACAACACUUAUUUUAAGUCUUGAGAAACAUCUCCUGCUAAGUAGAAGAAAAAAGCAUUUAGGUGAAGCAAUGUUGCUGGUCCCAUUUGUUUAUGAGGCUUGGUUUUUGUCUUUAUACAUUUUAAAUGCUUUUUAUUUUCAUUCUGCUUUUUGAGCCUUUCAAGUUCAUGUUUUCCAUUUUUUCCAUAUGACAAGAAAGUCUGGAAUCAAGUCCUUACUUUAAAAACAAAAAUCUGGUUCAGAGCCUUGUAUAAUCAUGUAGCUCCAGACAUGGGGUGUUUAAAAAUAAAGCCACUUCCAUGAGAA